UCAAGCGCAAGUUAAGGGCAUUCGGUGGAUGCCUUGGCACCGAGAGGCGAUGAAGGACGUGGCACUCUGCGAUAAGCUACGGGGAGGCGAGAGCAGCCUUUGAUCCGUGGAUGUCCGAAUGGGGAAACCCGGCCCUUUAGGGUCAUCUCCGCAAGGAGAGGCGAACCCGGCGAACUGAAACAUCUCAGUAGCCGGAGGAAAGGAAAUCAAACGAGACUCCGCUAGUAGUGGCGAGCGAACGCGGACUAGCCCAGUGGCCACUUGAAGAUGUACCGGAAGCGUCUGGAAAGUCGCGCCAGAGCGGGUGACAGCCCCGUACGGGAAGCAGCUUCUUGUGGUCCUCGAGUAGGGCGGGACACGUGAAAUCCUGUCUGAACAUGGGGGGACCACCCUCCAAGGCUAAGUACUCCUCGGUGACCGAUAGUGGACGAGUACCGUGAGGGAAAGGUGAAAAGCACCCCGACGAGGGGAGUGAAAUAGAUCCUGAAACCGGAUGUCUACAAGCAGUGGAAGCCCGCGAGGGCGACCGCGUACCUUUUGUAUAAUGGGUCAGCGAGUUGAUCUUUCAGGCAAGCUUAAGCCGCUAGGUGUAGGCGCAGCGAAAGCGAGUCUGAAUAGGGCGUCUAAGUCUGAAGGAUCAGACCCGAAACCGGGUGAUCUAGCCAUGGGCAGGCUGAAGGUGGGGUAACACCCACUGGAGGGCCGAACCCACGUCUGUUGAAAAAGACGGGGAUGACCUGUGGCUAGGGGUGAAAGGCCAAUCAAACCCGGAGAUAGCUGGUUCUCCGCGAAAGCUAUUUAGGUAGCGCGUCAGGUAUCGCCCUCGGGGGUAGAGCACUGGAUGGGCUAGGGGGGCGCGAGCCUUACCAAACCUAACCAAACUCCGAAUACCGAGGAGCGUCGAGCCUGGCAGACAGACGGCGGGUGCUAAGGUCCGUCGUCGAGAGGGAAACAGCCCAGACCGCCAGCUAAGGUCCCCAAAUCAUGGCUAAGUGGGAAAGGAUGUGGGAAGGCCAAGACAACCAGGAGGUUGGCUUAGAAGCAGCCAUCCUUUGAAGAAAGCGUAAUAGCUCACUGGUCUAGUUAAGCCGUCCUGCGCCGAAAAUGUACCGGGGCUCAAGCCAUGUACCGAAGCUGCGGAUCCGAGCUUGCUCGGAUGGUAGCGGAGCGUUGCCUAGGCCGGUGAAGCCGGACCCGCGAGGGCCGGUGGAGGUAUGGCAAGUGCGAAUGCUGACAUGAGUAGCGACAAAGCGGGUGAGAAACCCGCUCGCCGCAAGUCCAAGGGUUCCUGCGCAAGGCUAAUCCGCGCAGGGUGAGCCGGCCCCUAAGCCGAGGGCGAAGGCCGUAGGCGAUGGGAACCAGGUCAAGAUUCCUGGGCCCGCGGGUGGUGACGGAUGGCAGGUGUCGUACGGGCUUAUCGGAUUGCCCGUGCGGCUGAGCCGUUCCAGGAAACAGCCCCCGCAAAUGGACCGUACCCUAAACCGACACAGGUGGACUGGUAGAGUAUACCGAGGCGCUUGAGAGAACUGUGCUGAAGGAACUCGGCAAAUUACCCGCGUAACUUCGGGAGAAGCGGGCCCCGUUUCUGGGCAACCAGGGGCGGGGGGCACAGACCAGGGGG
rnacentral:rRNA from 1 species